UAGACCGUUGAAUUAUUUUCAGGUUCCCAGGGAAGCAUUAACCCCCGCCUGGGAGUCAACGCCAAGUAACUCAAUGAUUGACCGGGACGGCACCAAGUAGUGGAGCAUGUGGUUCAAUUCGAAGAUACGCGCCAGAACCUUAACAAACACUUGACAUGUCGUCGCGACUUUAAGAGAUUAAAGUUUUCCGGUUCGGCCGGACGAAACACAGGUGCUGCAUGGCUGUCGUCAGCUCGUGUCGUGAGAUGUUGGGUUAAGUCCCGCAACGAGCGCAACCCUCACUUUUAGUUGCCAUCAUUUAGUUGGGCACUCUGAAAGAACUGCCAGUGAUAAGCUGGAGGAAGGUGGGGAUGACGUCAAGUCCUCAUGGCCCUUACGAGUUGGGCUACACACGUGCUACAAUGGCAUUUACAAUAGGAAGCAAGAUGGCGACGUCAAGCAAAUCCUAAAAAGAUGCCUCAGUUCGGAUUGUACUCUGCAACUCGAGUACAUGAAGCUGGAAUUACUAGUAAUCGCGGAUCAGCGCGCCGCGGUGAAUACGUUCCCGGGUCUUGUACACACCGCCCGUCACACCAUGGGAGUUGGUUCUACCUUAAGGCAAGGUUUCAAACCCUUGACCACGGUAUAGUCAGCGACUGGGGUGAAGUCGUAACAAGGUAA
rnacentral:rRNA from 1 species